rnacentral:rRNA from 1 species
UGGUGGAGCGAUUUGUCUGGUUAAUUCCGUUAACGAACGAGACCUCGACCUACUAAAUAGUGUGUUGUACCCUUUGGGUACGUACAAACUUCUUAGAGGGACUAUCGGACGAUUAGCCGAUGGAAGUUCGAGGCAAUAACA